rnacentral:misc_RNA from 1 species
GUGAAUCAUCGAAUCUUUGAACGCACAUUGCGCCCGCCGGCAUUCCGGCGGGCAUGCCUGUCCGAGCGUCAUUUCCACCCUCGAGCCCUGCUCGGUGUUGGGGCGCGCCGCGCAAGCGGCGGCCCCUAAAUCUAUAGGCGGCGCCGACGGAGGCUCCCUGCGUAGUAGCUUCAAAACCACUCGCAUCGGGCCCCGGCGGCUGCCGGCCUCAAAAACGACCACUGUGUCAACAGGUUGACCUCGGAUCAGGUAGGGUUACCCGCUGAACUUAAGCAUAUCAAUAAGCGGAGGA